UGGGGAAUCAUGGUCAAUGGGGGAAACCCUGAUGCAGCAACGCCGCGUGAGUGAUGACGGCCUUCGGGUUGUAAAGCUCUGUCUUCAGGGACGAUAAUGACGGUACCUGAGGAGGAAGCCACGGCUAACUACGUGCCAGCAGCCGCGGUAAUACGUAGGUGGCGAGCGUUGUCCGGAUUUACUGGGCGUAAAGGGAGCGUAGGCGGACUUUUAAGUGAGAUGUGAAAUACCCGGGCUCAACUUGGGUGCUGCAUUUCAAACUGGAAGUCUAGAGUGCAGUAGAGGAGAAUGGAAUUCCUAGUGUAGCGGUGAGAUGCGUAGAGAUUAGGAAGAACACCAGUGGCGAAGGCGAUUCUCUGGACUGUAACUGACGCUGAGGCUCGAAAGCGUGGGGAGCAAACA
rnacentral:rRNA from 1 species